ACGCGCCGAACCUUACCUACCCUUGACAUGGACAGAACGCCGAAGAGAUUUGGUGGUGCUCGAAAGAGAACUGUCACACAGGUGCUGCAUGGCUGUCGUCAGCUCGUGUCGUGAGAUGUUGGGUUAAGUCCCCGCAACGAGCGCAACCCUUGUCAUUAGUUGCUACAUUCAGUUGAGCACUCUAAUGAGACUGCCGGUGACAAACCGGAGGAAGGUGGGGAUGACGUCAAGUCCUCAUGGCCCUUAUGGG
rnacentral:rRNA from 1 species